rnacentral:rRNA from 1 species
ACGAUGGGAGCUUGCUCCCAGGCGUCGAGUGGCGGACGGGUGAGUAAUACUUAGGAAUCUACCCAGUAGCGGGGGACAACUCGGGGAAACUCGAGCUAAUACCGCAUACGCUCUACGGAGGAAAGCAGGGGAUCUUCGGACCUUGCACUAUUGGAUGAGCCUAAGUCGGAUUAGCUUGUUGGUGAGGUAAAGGCUCACCAAGGCGACGAUCCGUAGCUGGUCUGAGAGGACGAUCAGCCACACUGGGACUGAGACACGGCCCAGACUCCUACGGGAGGCAGCAGUGGGGAAUAUUGGACAAUGGGGGCAACCCUGAUCCAGCAAUGCCGCGUGUGUGAAGAAGGCCUGCGGGUUGUAAAGCACUUUCAGUAGAGAAGAAAAGCCUAGGGUUAAUACCCCUGAGUCCUGACGUUACCUACAGAAGAAGCUCCGGCUAACUCCGUGCCAGCAGCCGCGGUAAUACGGAGGGAGCGAGCGUUAAUCGGAAUUACUGGGCGUAAAGCGCACGUAGGCGGCUUUGUAAGUCGGAUGUGAAAGCCCCGGGCUUAACCUGGGAAUGGCAUUCGAUACUGCAGAGCUAGAGUAUGGUAGAGGGAAGUGGAAUUUCCGGUGUAGCGGUGAAAUGCGUAGAUAUCGGAAGGAACACCGAUGGUGAAGGCAACUUCCUGGGCCAAUACUGACGCUGAGGUGCGAAAGCGUGGGUAGCAAACAGGAUUAGAUACCCUGGUAGUCCACGCCGUAAACGAUGAGAACUAGAUGUCGGGGAGGAUCUGCCCUUUCGGUGUCGCAGCUAACGCGUUAAGUUCUCCGCCUGGGGAGUACGCCGGCAACGGUA